rnacentral:rRNA from 1 species
AUGGGAGGUGUGGAUUGGAUUGGGCUGGAUGGAACCAGCAGGGGCGGGGCCUACGUACGCCGAGUGCUCGUGGGGACGGGAUACGAUGAGUCCAGCCAGAAAGGUUGGAACGGACAAACAGAUCGCAUGAAUUUCAUGGUUUACUCGGUUGUGUGUGGAUCCACUUACCAAAUGCAUCGUGCAUCCGUUGAUGUCCUACAAUGUUGUACGGUGUGCCGGCUUCGGGGUGGUUUACAUAAGGAACACAGCCCCAUGUCAUGGUUUUCAAGGAUACUACUUAUGUCCACUAAGACAAGACAAAAUUUCUGCAACAUAUGUUUAACGAGAAUAUUUACCGGGGAAGGUUGGCGAAUGAGGGUAGGUGAGUGCAGCCUGGCCGGCAAGGCCAAUUACAGGUUGUGUAAUUGA